rnacentral:rRNA from 1 species
CUCAGGACGAACGCUGGCGGCGUGCUUAACACAUGCAAGUCGAACGGUGAUGGCCAGCUUGCUGGUCUGAUCAGUGGCGAACGGGUGAGUAACACGUGAGCAACCUACCCCAGACUCUGGAAUAACCAUGGGAAACGAUGGCUAAUACCGGAUACGAGACACACGCGCAUGUGUGGUGUCUGGAAAGAUUUAUCGGUCUGGGAUGGGCUCGCGGCCUAUCAGCUUGUUGGUGGGGUAGUGGCCUACCAAGGCGACGACGGGUAGCCGGCCUGAGAGGGCGACCGGCCACACUGGGACUGAGAUACGGCCCAGACUCCUACGGGAGGCAGCAGUGGGGAAUAUUGCACAAUGGGCGCAAGCCUGAUGCAGCGACGCCGCGUGAGGGAUGACGGCCUUCGGGUUGUAAACCUCUUUCAGCAGGGAAGAAGCGAAAGUGACGGUACCUGCAGAAGAAGCGCCGGCUAACUACGUGCCAGCAGCCGCGGUAAUACGUAGGGCGCAAGCGUUAUCCGGAAUUAUUGGGCGUAAAGAGCUCGUAGGCGGUUUGUCGCGUCUGCUGUGAAAUCCGGAGGCUCAACCUCCGGCCUGCAGUGGGUACGGGCAGACUAGAGUGCGGUAGGGGAGAUUGGAAUUCCUGGUGUAGCGGUGGAAUGCGCAGAUAUCAGGAGGAACACCGAUGGCGAAGGCAGAUCUCUGGGCCGUAACUGACGCUGAGGAGCGAAAGGGUGGGGAGCAAACAGGCUUAGAUACCCUGGUAGUCCACCCCGUAAACGUUGGGAACUAGGUGUGGGGGACAUUCCACGUUUUCCGCGCCGUAGCUAACGCAUUAAGUGACCCGCCUGGGGAGUACGGUCGCAAGAUUAAAACUCAAAGGAAUUGACGG